rnacentral:rRNA from 1 species
UACGGAGGACGAGCAGUGGGGGAAUAUUGCACAAUGGGCGCAAGCCUGAUGCAGCCAUGCCGCGUGUAUGAAGAAGGCCUUCGGGUUGUAAAGUACUUUCAGUCGUGAGGAAGGUGUUAAGGUUAAUAACCUUAGCAAUUGACGUUAGCGACAGAAGAAGCACCGGCUAACUCCGUGCCAGCAGCCGCGGUAAUACGGAGGGUGCGAGCGUUAAUCGGAAUUACUGGGCGUAAAGGGCACGCAGGCGGUUAAUUAAGUUGGAUGUGAAAUCCCCGGGCUUAACCUGGGAAUGGCAUUCAAGACUGGUUAGCUAGAGUCUUGUAGAGGGGGUAGAAUUCCAUGUGUAGCGGUGAAAUGCGUAGAGAUGUGGAGGAAUACCGGUGGCGAAGGCGGCCCCUGGACAAAGACUGACGCUCAUGUGCGAAAGCGUGGGGAGCAAACAGGGAUUAGAUACC